CCAGGCGACAUUUUUCCAGUCUUCAACUGUCCAAUUUUGAGAUACUCACAAGAUGACCCCCUGUAAGAAAGGAAAGCCCAUGUCUCCAGUCAAAGACAACUUGGUGACCAGCUCGCCUCAGACGGACAUGAACUUAAUCACCAGCCUCUGAUGGAUGUUUGAAUGUUUCACACAGUGCUGAGUGCUCUGUGUGGAAGUGAAGCUUUGAAACAUACCAUGUAUGAUAAUGAUUUCCCAUCAAUCUGUAUUUCUUAAUGUAUCAUUUUAAAUAAAGCAACUGUCUUCUUA